CUACGGGUUGCUGCAGGCGAGAAAACUUUGCAAUGUGCGAAAGCACGACAAGGUUAAUCCGAGUGGUUUGUGCUAAACGAACCUUUUGACAGUCCUAGAAACACUGUUGAAUAAGGGGUGGGCAAGUUCUGGUGUCAGCCGCCGCGGUAAAACCAGCACCUCAAGUGGUCAGGAUGAUUAUUGGGCCUAAAGCAUCCGUAGCCGGCUCUGUAAGUUUUCGGUUAAAUCUGUACGCUCAACGUACAGGCUGCCGGGAAUACUGCAGAGCUAGGGAGUGGGAGAGGUAGACGGUACUCGGUAGGAAGGGGUAAAAUCCUUUGAUCUAUUGAUGACCACCUGUGGCGAAGGCGGUCUACCAGAACACGUCCGACGGUAAGGGAUGAAAGCUGGGGGAGCAAACCGGAUUAGAUACCCCCGUAGUC
rnacentral:rRNA from 1 species